rnacentral:misc_RNA from 1 species
UAAAGUGCGAUAUCUAGUGCGAUUUGCAUGAACUGAGAGUCAUCAAGUAUUUGAACGCAACUUGCGCCUCCUUUGCGGGAGGCAUGACUGUUUGAGUGUUGGCAAAGAGGUGUCGCGCCGAGGCGGACGAGAUGGGAUUUCACGUGGCGUGUGUCCUGAAACGGAGGAAGGGAGAUGGUUGGCUCGACGUGGGCGGCAGCCAUGUGCUAGAGGCCGCAGGUCUUGUCGUGGCUUGGAGCAGACGGCGACGCAACCAGCAACAGCAACAGCAACAGCAACAGCCGCCUCAAAUCAGUCAAGAUUACCCGCCAAACUUAA